rnacentral:rRNA from 1 species
UAUGCCCUGACCGAUGAAUGUUAACUGUUGAAUUUAUUUUUAAUUUUGGUAGUAAAGCUAACGCGUUAAACAUUCCGCCUGAGAACUACGGCCGCAAGGUUGAAACUCAAAGAAAUUGGCGGAGGGCUAAAACAACGGUGGAGCAUGUUGUUUAAUUUGAUAUAACACAAGAAAUCUUACCAACUCUUGAAUACAUAGUACGAAGACUUAAUGGUCUUUUAGUUAUUUAUAUAAUAGCUUGCUAUGUACAGGCGU